UACGUAGGGUGCAAGCGUUGUCCGGAAUUAUUGGGCGUAAAGAGCUCGUAGGCGGUUUGUUGCGUCGGCUGUGAAAACCUGAGGCUCAACCUCAGGCCUGCAGUCGAUACGAGCAGACUAGAGUGUUGCAGGGGAGACUGGAAUUCCUGGUGUAGCGGUGAAAUGCGCAGAUAUCAGGAGGAACACCGGUGGCGAAGGCGGGUCUCUGGGCCGUAACUGACGCUGAGGAGCGAAAGCAUGGGGAGCGAACAGG
rnacentral:rRNA from 1 species